UUCGCAAUGCCCGAAAGGGUGACGAAGCGACGCCGCGUGCGGGAAGAAGGCCUUCGGGUUGUAAACCGCUGUCGGGAGUUAAGAAAUGCAAGGGUGUUAAUAGCAUCCUUGUCUGACUAAGGCUCCGGAGGAAGCCACGGCUAACUCUGUGCCAGCAGCCGCGGUAAUACAGAGGCGGCAAGCGUUGUUCGGAAUUAUUGGGCGUAAAGAGCACGUAGGCGGCUGUGUAAGUCGGUUGUGAAAGCCUUCCGCUCAACGGGAGAACGGCAUCCGAUACUGCAUGGCUUGAGUGCGGGAGGGGAGAGUGGAACUUCUGGUGGAGCGGUGAAAUGCGUAGAUAUCAGAAGGAACACCGGCGGCGAAGGCGACUCUCUGGCCCGUAACUGACGCUGAGUGUGCGAAAGCUAGGGGAGCAAACGGGAUUAGAUACCCCGGUAGUCCUAGCCGUAAACGAUGGGCACUAAGUAGAGGGGUUUU
rnacentral:rRNA from 1 species